rnacentral:lncRNA from 1 species
GCUUUAAGAACCGGUGGUUGGCAAGUGGUGCCGAAGAAACCCGGGACCCCCACCAAAGAGGUUCAGAACUUUCUGCAAUCAGGGUCUGUCAACAGGAUGAGUACGAGAUUUGAAGUUCACACCAUACAGAUUUUUCUGUUGCUUGGUUAGAGUCACACCAAGUUGAGCGAGAGUCACAAUGAAAGAAGGCUGAGGGGAAGAAGGUGGCUCUUGCCUCUGCAAUAUUGAAGAAACAGGAGGACAACUACAGGAUAUCCAUCCCCAAACCUUACAUGCUUUGUCAAAUGAUCUGACUACACCAAGUUGCAGCGGCAAAGGUCACCCUCUAUAAGGAGCACCAAGUACCUCCUGCCAUCAACCAGUGCACCCAGGCCCUAAACUGGCAAACAGCUAUACAGCUGCUUAAGUUUGUCCAGAUGUACCAUCCUGAGAAGAAGCUAGAAAUUUAGAAAUAGCUGUUGACUCAUGCUGAGAAGAUGGCUACUGGCAAAGGGUUUGUACUGAUUAAGAGACCAUCUAUCCUUGCAGUAUGGGUCAAUACAGUAGCUCCUCUGGUGAAGAACAAGAAAUCCCAGCUGGUGGUAAUCAGCCCAUUGAACUGAUGGGCUUCCUGCUUGUCUUAAGAUAUUUUUCCUCCACUGCAACAUCAAUGGAAAUUCCAGACAGGGACAGUUUUUACUCAGGACCACACACACCACUCUUCCUUCACACAGGGAAGAGUGAGAAAACAGGAACUCUGCCAAAACUGAUGGAGGCUCUCAGGACCAAAUACAAUGAUAAAUAAUAAUGAGAUCCACUGGCACUAGAGAGACCAUAUUCUGGGUCACAAAUCUUUGACUUGCACUGCCAAGGUCGAAUAGGCAAAGUCCAAAGAACUUGCAACUAAAGUAGAUUAAAUGUACACAGCUAAGUUCUCUGUAUGUGAAUGUAACUUUAAAUUGCCUCUCCACACUCCCCCCCCCCCCAAUAAUGAAAGUAGAGACAGGAAAAAAGAACAAAAUAUGCAGGGCAAGCAAGAUAGGUGCAGCAAGCCUGUAAGCAGCUUCCUACCAUGGAUUCUAUUUGCUGCUCUUCUUGAAUUCUUGCCCUAAGUCCCUAAGUUCUCUCAGUGAUGAAUUCUGAUUGGGAUGCAUAAGUCAAAUAAAUCUUUUCCUCCC